UUGGUUAAGUUAGAAAGGGCGCACGGUGGAUGCCUUGGCACUAGGAGCCGAAGAAGGACGGGACUAACACCGAUAUGCUUUGGGGAGCUGUACGUAAGCGUUGAUCCAGAGAUUUCCGAAUGGGGGAACCCACUAUCUUUAGUCGGAUAGUAUCCUUACGUGAAUACAUAGCGUGAGGAAGGCAGACCCAGGGAACUGAAACAUCUAAGUACCUGGAGGAAGAGAAAGAAAAAUCGAUUUCCUGAGUAGCGGCGAGCGAAACGGAAAGAGCCCAAACCAAGAAGCUUGCUUCUUGGGGUUGUAGGACACUCUAUACGGAGUUACAAAAGAAAGUUAUAAAUGAAGCGGUCUGGAAAGGCCCGCCAAAGACGGUAACAGCCCGGUAGUUGAAAUGGCUUUCCCUCCAGAGUGGAUCCUGAGUACGGCGGAACACGUGAAAUUCCGUCGGAAUCCGGGAGGACCAUCUCCCAAGGCUAAAUACUCCCUAGUGACCGAUAGUGAACCAGUACCGUGAGGGAAAGGUGAAAAGCACCCCGGAAGGGGAGUGAAACAGUUCCUGAAACCGUGUGCCUACAAGUAGUUAGAGCCCGUUAAUGGGUGAUAGCGUGCCUUUUGUAGAAUGAACCGGCGAGUUACGAUUUGUUGCAAGGUUAAGCGGAAAAAGCGGAGCCGUAGCGAAAGCGAGUCUGAAUAGGGCGCAUAAGUAACAGGUCGUAGACCCGAAACCAGGUGAUCUACCCAUGUCCAGGAUGAAGGUAAGGUAAUACUUACUGGAGGUCCGAACCCACGCACGUUGAAAAGUGCGGGGAUGAGGUGUGGGUAGCGGAGAAAUUCCAAUCGAACUUGGAGAUAGCUGGUUCUCUCCGAAAUAGCUUUAGGGCUAGCCUCGAGGUAAAGAGUCAUGGAGGUAGAGCACUGUUUGGACUAGGGGCCCUUCUCGGGUUACCGAAUUCAGAUAAACUCCGAAUGCCAUGUACUUAUACUCGGGAGUCAGACUGCGAGUGAUAAGAUCCGUAGUCGAAAGGGAAACAGCCCAGACCACCAGUUAAGGUCCCCAAAUAUAUGUUAAGUGGAAAAGGAUGUGGGGUUGCUUAGACAACCAGGAUGUUGGCUUAGAAGCAGCCACCAUUGAAAGAGUGCGUAAUAGCUCACUGGUCGAGUGACCCCGCGCCGAAAAUGUACCGGGGCUAAACAUAUUACCGAAACUGUGGAUGAACCUCUUUAGAGGUUCGUGGUAGGAGAGCGUUCUAAGGGCGGUGAAGUCAGACCGGAAGGACUGGUGGAGCGCUUAGAAGUGAGAAUGCCGGUAUGAGUAGCGAAAGAAGGGUGAGAAUCCCUUCCACCGAAUAUCUAAGGUUUCCUGAGGAAGGCUCGUCCGCUCAGGGUUAGUCGGGACCUAAGCCGAGGCCGAUAGGCGUAGGCGAUGGACAACAGGUAGAGAUUCCUGUACCAGUGCUAAUUGUUUAACCGAUGGGGUGACACAGAAGGAUAGGGAAUCGCACGAAUGGAAAUGUGCGUCCAAGCAGUGAGUGUGAGAAGUAGGCAAAUCCGCUUCUCGCGAAGCAUGAGCUGUGAUGGGGAAGGAAAUUAAGUACGGAAGUUCCUGAUUUCACGCUGUCAAGAAAAGCCUCUAGGAAGAGUAGUACUGCCCGUACCGCAAACCGACACAGGUAGAUGAGGAGAGAAUCCUAAGGUGAGCGAGAGAACUCUCGUUAAGGAACUCGGCAAAAUGACCCCGUAACUUCGGGAGAAGGGGUGCUCUAUUAGGGUGCAAGCCCGAGAGAGCCGCAGUGAAUAGGCCCAGGCGACUGUUUAGCAAAAACACAGGUCUCUGCAAAACCGUAAGGUGACGUAUAGGGGCUGACGCCUGCCCGGUGCUGGAAGGUUAAGAGGAGUGCUUAGCUUCGGCGAAGGUACGAAUUGAAGCCCCAGUAAACGGCGGCCGUAACUAUAACGGUCCUAAGGUAGCGAAAUUCCUUGUCGGGUAAGUUCCGACCCGCACGAAAGGCGCAACGAUCUGGGCACUGUCUCAACGAGAGACUCGGUGAAAUUAUAGUACCUGUGAAGAUGCAGGUUACCCGCGACAGGACGGAAAGACCCCGUGGAGCUUUACUGCAACCUGAUAUGGAAUGUUUGUACCGCUUGUACAGGAUAGGUAGGAGCCGAAGAGACGUGUGCGCUAGCAUACGAGGAGGCAAUGGUGGGAUACUACCCUGGCUG
rnacentral:rRNA from 1 species